rnacentral:rRNA from 1 species
AUUGAACGCUGGCGGCAUGCCUUACACAUGCAAGUCGAACGGCAGCACGGGUGCUUGCACCUGGUGGCGAGUGGCGAACGGGUGAGUAAUACAUCGGAACAUGUCCUGUAGUAGGGGAUAGCCCGUCGAAAGCCGGAUUAAUACCGCAUACGAUCUACGGAUGAAAGCGGGGGACCUUCGGGCCUCGCGCUAUAGGGUUGGCCGAUGGCUGAUUAGCUAGUUGGUGGGGUAAAGGCCUACCAAGGCGACGAUCAGUAGCUGGUCUGAGAGGACGACCAGCCACACUGGGACUGAGACACGGCCCAGACUCCUACGGGAGGCAGCAGUGGGGAAUUUUGGACAAUGGGCGAAAGCCUGAUCCAGCAAUGCCGCGUGUGUGAAGAAGGCCUUCGGGUUGUAAAGCACUUUUGUCCGGAAAGAAAUCCUUGGCCCUAAUACGGUCGGGGGAUGACGGUACCGGAAGAAUAAGCACCGGCUAACUACGUG